UGUUGCCUACGGGGCGCAGCAGUGAGGAAUAUUGGUCAAUGGUCGGGAGACUGAACCAGCCACGCCGCGUGAGGGAGGAAGGUACAGAGUAUCGUAAACCUCUUUUGUCAGGGAACAAAGACUGGGACGCGUCCCCGGAUGAGUGUACCUGAAGAAAAAGCAUCGGCUAACUCCGUGCCAGCAGCCGCGGUAAUACGGAGGAUGCGAGCGUUAUCCGGAUUUAUUGGGUUUAAAGGGUGCGCAGGCGGUCUGUUAAGUCAGCGGCCAAAGCCCGGGGCUCAAC
rnacentral:rRNA from 1 species